UCUGUAGGUUGUUUAGUAAGUCUGCUGUUAAAGACUGGGGCUUAACCCCAGAAAAGCAGUGGAAACUGCUAGACUUGAGUGUGGUAGAGGUAGAGGGAAUUCCUAGUGUAGCGGUGAAAUGCGUAGAUAUUAGGAAGAACACCAAUGGCGAAGGCACUCUACUGGGCCAUAACUGACACUCAGAGACGACAGCUAGGGGAGCAAACG
rnacentral:rRNA from 1 species